rnacentral:rRNA from 1 species
GAUGAACGCUGGCGGCGUGCCUAAUACAUGCAAGUCGAGCGAACGGACGAGAAGCUUGCUUGUCUGAUGUUAGCGGGGGACGUGUGAGUAACACGUGGAUAACCUACCUAUCAGACUGGGAUCACUUCGGGACACCGGAGCUCAUAACGGAUAAUCUUUUGAACCGCAUGGUUCAAAAGUGAAAGACGGUAUUGCUGAAUCUUAUCGAUAGCUCCGCGCUGCAUUAGCUAGUAGGUAAGGUAACGGUUUACCAAGGCAACGAUGCAUGGCCGACCUGGGAGGGUGACCGCCAAAACUGGAACUGAGAAACGGUCCCGCCUCCUACGGGAGGCAGCAGUAGGGAAUCUUCCGCAAGGGGCGAAGGCCGGACGGAGCAACGCCGCGUGAGUGAUGAAGGUCUUCGGAUCGAAAAACUCUGUUAUUGGGGAAGAACGUAUGUGUAAGUAACUGUGCACAUCGUGACGGUACCUAAUCAGAAAGCCACGGCUAACUACGUG